rnacentral:hammerhead_ribozyme from 1 species
AUUCAACUGACGUGUUCCAAGUAGGACGAAAUGCUCGUUCUGAAU